AUGCCGUCGUCUUCAAUGUCUUGGCACAGUGAAGUACAAAAGCAGCCUCAUUGCAAUGGUGAUCUUUAUGAAGAUGAUGAUAGUACCGUUGAAGUUCCGCAAGUUCACGAGCUCAACCAUGCCACCACCGCUGGGCGUGUCGUCCGUCACCUCCAUUGCACAAUAGAGAGGGAAGAGGGUGUGCUAACGCUCAAUUUUCAUCACCGCCAGUGUAUUCAUCGAGGGCGAGUGUACAAUGGCGCCACCGCGCUCCUCCUUGGCGCACUGGCCUUCACCAUGGGUAUGUCCUCCACAUGCGCAUCUCCCUCCUGGGCGUGUGUUGGACUUGCAUGCCGUCGCUCCGCCGAGUGUGUUUGCUGCGUGAAGCCUUUGCCCUUCUCCCACCUCGUGCACACGUGUCACGUGUGCCCAUCACCUCCUGCUGCUGCUCGGACCCUUUGCAAAAUAGCCGAGAACACAUAG
rnacentral:rRNA from 1 species